GCAAAGCUUCUCCCACAUAAUAAAUUUAAACAGCCAACAACAAAACCAUCUUCCUUUUUACUUUCUAUACUUUCAACCUCAAAUGCCUCACUUUUCAUCAACUUGUUGUUUUUUCCUCAGCAGUUACCUUCGCUGCUUCAUCGUUCCCCUUUGCUGGUUUGGUAAUGCUUUCGGUUGGAGCAAUGGCCUUCGGUUCGGUAUCUUUCGCUGUCUCCGUCUCGGUCUUCUUGACAUCACUGAUAUCUUCUUCUUUCUUCUUCUCAGACGUGUUACUCUCAUCUGUUGCUGGUGUUGCUUCAACUACUGUCACUACUUCAGUUUUCUCGACUUUCUCGGCCAAUUUUACAUCUUCUAAUGUUUCACUCGUUGGCGUAAUU
rnacentral:misc_RNA from 1 species